rnacentral:rRNA from 1 species
UACGUAGGGUGCAAGCGUUGUCCGGAAUUAUUGGGCGUAAAGAGCGUGUAGGCGGCCCGAUUAGUCCGCUGUGAAAGUCCAGGGCUCAACCCUGGAAUGCCGGUGGAUACUGUCGGGCUAGAGUCCGGAAGGGGCGAGUGGAAUUCCUGGUGUAGCGGUGAAAUGCGCAGAUAUCAGGAGGAACACCAAUGGCGAAGGCAGCUCGCUGGGACGUGACUGACGCUGAGACGCGGAAAGCGUGGGGAGCAAACAGG